rnacentral:rRNA from 1 species
UACGGAGGAUCCAAGCGUUAUCCGGAAUCAUUGGGUUUAAAGGGUCCGUAGGCGGUUUAAUAAGUCAGAGGUGAAAGCCCAUCGCUCAACGGUGGAACGGCCAUUGAUACUGUUAAACUUGAAUUAUUAGGAAGUAACUAGAAUAUGUAGUGUAUCGGUGAAAUGCUUAGAGAUUACAUGGAAUACCAAUUGCGAAGGCGGCUUUUUGGUCUGUAACUGACGCUGAGGCGCGAAAGCGUGGGGAGCAAACAGG